AGAAGCAACCGUGUUAAACACUGAAGUAGCUGGCUCAUAUAAUCACCCAGAGCUACUCUUCUAAUGUGAACUGAUGCAGGCUGCGGCUCUCUAUUUAUUGGCUUACAAGCAAAACAUUAACUAAAGGAGGUUGCAGUUGUGGCCUAACAUAUUCAAUGGUUGACACGCCACUGACAGACGACAAUGGAAAAAAUGGACCGUAAAGCUACACAGAUGAGCAUGUAAGGAACCGGACAGAGACAGGGGAUGCAAACCAUGAUUUGUGGUAGUUAUGGCUAUAGCCUAUAGGUGCUAACUUUUCAUAACAAUUUAAGGGGAAAAAAAGGAAAGAAAUCGCGCUGAUUCUUGUAGGCAGGAGGAAAUUAUAAUAUUCAAGAUUACGCAUCUGGUAACCUGCAAAGUUGCAGGAAGUGAUUCCUAACCGUGUAAGUUGUAACCAUCUGCAGUGAUUUUUUAAGUGCCCGUGAUUCCUAACGGUACCAUUCAGCAGCCCAAAGUAAAAAUAGUCUUCCGACAUUGACAAGACAGAUAGAAAAAGCAAAGAUUCAGUUUGGAAGGGUGAGAGACAUGACUGGCGUGUUUAAAUGUUAAUCUUUCUGGAACUGUAGAAGCUGCGAAUGUGAGACACUGAAUCAACUUGGGGGUCUGACUCAUCAUCAGCAGAAGGUUCCUUUGCAAGGCAAGCAUGAGGAGCUAUUGGUUCAUUUGCGAAAAAUGCAGGAGAUGGGGUUGGGCUAUUACUCUGUUUGCAUGCAAAUCAUGAGAUGGGACUAUAGGCUCACUUGCCAGCACAAUCUUUUGCGAGGGAAGGAGAUUGAGUUGGGGUUAUUGCCUAAAUUUCAGGCAAAUCAUGAGAUGGUGUUAUAGGUUCAGAACUUGCAGGAAAAGCUUGAGAUGGAGUUGGGGCUAUUGGUUUGUUUUCUUGGAAUGCAUGAGAUGGAGAUAUUGGCUCACUUGCUAAUUCAAUGGCUGAAACACCACUCAGGAAAAUGACUAGGGGCAAAAGAAAAGUAAAGCCAUGGUAGAAAAAGAAGGGGGAAUACAAAGCCUUGUGAAUUUGUGAUUUCUUUGUGGCCGUGGCCUGUAGGAUGCUCAUCACACCCUUCAGAGGAAUCUAUUUAUAAGUUAACGCUCACUGCCCAUGAAUGCAGUGAUGUUA